UUACUGAGUUUACGCUCUAUAACCCUUUGUGAACAUACCUAUAACUGUUGCUUCGGCGGGUAGGGUCUCCGCGACCCUCCCGGCCUCCCGCCUCCGGGCGGGUCGGCGCCCGCCGGAGGAUAACCAAACUCUGAUUUAACGACGUUUCUUCUGAGUGGUACAAGCAAAUAAUCAAAACUUUUAACAACGGAUCUCUUGGUUCUGGCAUCGAUGAAGAACGCAGCGAAAUGCGAUAAGUAAUGUGAAUUGCAGAAUUCAGUGAAUCAUCGAAUCUUUGAACGCACAUUGCGCCCGCCAGCAUUCUGGCGGGCAUGCCUGUUCGAGCGUCAUUUCAACCCUCAAGCUCUGCUUGGUGUUGGGGCCCUACAGCUGAUGUAGGCCCUCAAAGGUAGUGGCGGACCCUCCCGGAGCCUCCUUUGCGUAGUAACUUUACGUCUCGCACUGGGAUCCGGAGGGACUCUUGCCGUAAAACCCCCCAAUUUUCCAAAGGUUGACCUCGGAUCAGGUAGAAUACCCGCUGAACUUAAGCAUAUCAAU
rnacentral:rRNA from 1 species